rnacentral:misc_RNA from 1 species
AAGUCGUAACAAGGUUUCCGUAGGUGAACCUGCGGAAGGAUCAUUACCUAGAGUUCGUAGACUUCGGUCUGCUACCUCUUACCCCAUGUCUUUUGAGUACCUUCGUUUUCCUCGGCGGGUCCGCCCCGCCCGAUUUGGGACAAACAUUCAAACCCUUUGCAGUUGCAAUCAGCGUCUGAAAAAACAUAAUAGUUACAA